UACGUAGGGACCGAGCGUUGUCCGGAAUCAUUGGGCGUAAAGAGCGUGUAGGCGGCUUGCUAAGUCUUGCGUGAAAUCUCGGGGCUCAACCCCGAGCGGUCGUGGGAAACUGGCAGGCUAGAGUGCGGGAGAGGAGAAUGGAAUUCCUGGUGUAGCGGUGAAAUGCGCAGAUAUCAGGAAGAACACCCGUGGCGAAGGCGGUUCUCUGGAACGCAACUGACGCUGGGACGCGAAAGCGUGGGGAGCAAACAGG
rnacentral:rRNA from 1 species